CGUGCCCGCAGGGGCACACCUGUGCAGUUCCCAUACUGGGCUACAAACAAAAUGGAGUGACUCAUCAUAUGAAAUGGAAGAUCAGUACCUGAUCACACCUUUCUAGCAUGACAGCAGUCAAAAUCAGUUUGUCUUCGGGCUUGUGAUGUACCAGCAUUAGGAUUACCAGAAGCUGUGUGUCAAGAACAGUAUCUCAAAAUAAAUAACAACACAUAAAAACACCCA
rnacentral:lncRNA from 1 species